UACGUAGGCAGCGAGCGUUGUUCGGAGUUACUGGGCGUAAAGCGUGCGUAGGCGGUUUUGUAAGUUUGGUGUGAAAUCUCCCGGCUCAACUGGGAGGGUGCGCCGAAAACUGCAAGGCUGGAGUGUGGGAGAGGUAGGCGGAAUUCCUGGUGUAGCGGUGAAAUGCGUAGAUAUCUGGAGGAACACCGGUGGCGAAGGCGGCGAUCCUGGACCAAUAUUGACGCGUGAGGAGCGAAAGCCAGGGGAGCAAAGCGGGAUUAAGAAACCCCGAGUACAGUCCGAG
rnacentral:rRNA from 1 species